UGUAAAUUCAGUGACUCUGUCUGGGAAAGUAUAGCAAUUAUAUCCUAUAAAAAUUACUGUGAUACUGGAAAGGUAUAACACUAAUAACCUUGGGAAGCUAUAACAUUAAACAGUAACAAUUAGAAUGAAGAGAAUAAAGACACAAAUUUAAAUUCAUAGUGUACUGUAUUAGCACUUUUAUGACUGGUUUUAGUAGUGCAAGUGGCUACAGCUUUUCAGGUGGAUUAUAGCACUGGUGAGAAGAGACCUUUCUUGAUCUUAUUCUUGUGUUCUCACUCUUGUUCUCCUUUUCACUGUAAAAUUCCUGAGAGAAUUAGCCAAGGAUGCAGAAUAUGAUCAGAAAUCUGGGGCCAUAAGAAGCUGGAGCAGCAAAACACAUUCACAGUGCAGCCAGCCCUUGGCUCCCAGAAUUCCCAAAACAAGUGUGCUCCCUUCAGAAAUACAGUCCUUGGAGUAGGAGGCUAACAGAGCUAAGGUGAAGGAUCUAAAACCUGAAAAGAGGCCAAAUGAUUCCUCAAAACCACGCAAGUACGAAGUAGCAGAGCGGAUCUCAAAUCCAGAGCACUGCGUGUUUUGAAAUAUACAAAUAGUGGGAAACGAAAUCUUUGUUCUGGAUGCAGUUAUAAUUUGGAAAGCGAGGAAAUAAAUUAUAACAAGGGGAAAAAACAGAAUACUACUAAAGUCAUGCCGUGUGACUUCUGAAGCUAGCUCCUAAGAAGUCCUUGCAGCUUCUGCCUGCGACUCUUAGAACACUUGCUUUGAAGGAUGCCAGAUGCUGUCUUAAAAGUCUGAGCACUCUGAAACCAUCAUGCUGUGAGGAAGCCCAAGCUAACCACAUGGGCAAAAAAGAUGCCCUCUGACUGCCACCAUUUGAGACACUCUAAUUAAGAACUGCCUCAUUGAGCCCAUGAGGCCCUGUGAAUGAUAAUAAUAAAUUGUUUUUAACCACUAUGUUUUUGGAUUUGUUAUAAGUUUAUAGAUAACAAGAAAAAGUUAUAUUAGCAUGGUAAUAAAAU
rnacentral:lncRNA from 10 species